GCCGAGGUAGCUCAGUUGGUAGAGCGUCAGGCUGUUAACCUGAUGGUCACAGGUUCGAGUCCUGUCCUCGGCGCCA
rnacentral:tRNA from 1 species